rnacentral:rRNA from 1 species
UGCGGUCACACGCAAUCAAUACAACUUUCAACAACGGAUCUCUUGGCUCUCGCAUCGAUGAAGAACGCAGAGAAAUGCGAUACGUAAUGUGAAUUGCAGAAUUCAGUGAAUCAUCGAAUCUUUGAACGCACCUUGCGCCCCUUGGCAUUCCGAGGGG